GGCUCCGUGGUGUAAUGGUUAACUCGCCAGCAUGCGGUGCAUUUCCCGACAAGGGCGCUCAGGACCAUGUGGCUCCUGGGUUGUGUAGUACCUGUGAUGGACUUCCAAGUUCAAGUCUCGGCGGAGCCG